rnacentral:rRNA from 1 species
AAUGGAGGAAACUCUGAUGCAGCGAUGCCGCGUGAGUGAAGAAGGCCCUUGGGUUGUAAAGCUCUUUCGUCGGGGAAGAAAAUGACUGUACCCGAAUAAGAAGGUCCGGCUAACUUCGUGCCAGCAGCCGCGGUAAUACGAAGGGACCUAGCGUAGUUCGGAAUUACUGGGCUUAAAGAGUUCGUAGGUGGUUGAAAAAGUUGGUGGUGAAAUCCCAGAGCUUAACUCUGGAACUGCCAUCAAAACUUUUCAGCUAGAGUUUGAUAGAGGAAAGCAGAAUUUCUAGUGUAGAGGUGAAAUUCGUAGAUAUUAGAAAGAAUACCAAUUGCGAAGGCAGCUUUCUGGAUCAUUACUGACACUGAGGAACGAAAGCAUGGGUAGCGAAGAGGAUU